GGAUAGGAUUCCACAGAUUCCCAUCGAGAUCGAGGAGGCCGCGAGACGGCACGGAUCCUCCCAGUCCCAGUCCCAGUCCCAUUCCCCCCUCGCUCGCCCCCAGGAACGGAAAACCGCGGAAUAAAAUCGUAGUCAAAGACGGACGGGGAGGACGAACAGACCGGCAGCGGAAAUCCGGCUUUCGGAAGCACGGCGCUGUCAGUCGGCCGGCCAGCCAGCCAAGGUAAGAAGAGGCGCGCGCGCGCCUAACAAGAAAUGACGAGAAAAAUUCUUUCUUUUUAAUUUCAUUUCACCAGUAGUAACAAUGAUAAGUAACUAAAAUAUCUGUCUUUGCGUCUGAUUGUUCCCCUUGCUUUGCUUUCACGUCAUUCUCCGGAGGGAGCAGGCAGACAAGCAACGCAACGCAAGGGAGCUCCGAUCCCAUCCCCUGCCCGCAGUCUCCGCUCUUCUCCCCCCUUCUCCAUUUAUUAGGACUUGUUGAUCCACUCAUCUCACCUACUAGCUCGUAGCCGGCCGCAGGGAUCAGCAUCUUCCUCUUCGCCGCUCAAGUUUCCAAGCGCCUGGCUCAGAAUCUUCAUCCCGUGGGUGGGGCUCACUCGUCCCGGCUCCAUUUCUUGCCGAUCCAGGCAGACUUUUGACAUGCGAGACUGAUGGCGGCGGCAGAAGCGAGAGCUGCUUGGCAACGGGCUGCCAACCGCUGCUUGUUUCAGGAGGAUGCAAAGAGAGCUCCAAAAUUGGCCUGCUGUCCACCGACAAUGCAACAGCAUGAAGCAAACAGCGGGAACCCCACCAGUCCGCGAGACUGCCACAUCCCGAAUUUCAUGCAUUUGAACUGGAACCCGAUGAACUCCAAUCAGCCGAUAGAUGCCUGGUUUCUUCAGCUGCAGCCCAAUUUCGGGUGCCACAAGGUGCUUUCUGGUGACCAUCUGAAUUACAUGGGCGGAGAAGCCACUGCCAAGAAAGUGGACAGUUUCUCGCCAAUCUCUACGCUUGACGACAUAAACACAAAGAAGAGUGAGUGCCCUUCUGAGCUACCAUGGAUGGUUUCGACGGCUUUUAUGAAGCAAACAUCUGAAGCACCUUGCGAAGGGUGCCCUCAAACGAGUCUCAAAUGCAGAGGAAAUCCGAAUGACUUCCUUCAUGAGGAUAAAGAGGUUAUGGACUUCAAAACUUUUGAUCCUUUGUUUCCAAAGAAACCAAAGAAGGCAUGCUAUGAGAUGGAUCCACCUUGGGAACAAGAGAGGAAGUGUCAGCCCUGGUGGCAAGUAGCUGAUGAGGAAGGACUGGCUUCGCUUGUUGCAGAAAGAGCAAUGCAGCACAUUGAGAACAAUGAUCUGCCAAAACCCACUCAGAUAGUGCGUAUUCAUGGGGCAAAAUUGAACGGUCAUGAAAACAAGGAUGGCUGUGGGAAUUCAUUAUCUUCUUCUGGUAAAGAGUCGCGGCCGCAACCACACGACACUAUGAUGUGCAGCUAUAGCCUCUCAAGCACCAAUGAGACGAAUUCAUCUGACGGUGGAGGCUGGCAACAGUCUCACAAAAAUGAUGCACAUGGGGGCACGCAGGAUUCAUAUAGUAGUGGUGAUCAUACACCAGGCAGCAAGCCCACAUAUCAGAAUCAGAAAGACGCCGAGAGGGCCCAGCUACUGGACGCUCUUCGCCAUUCGCAGACACGGGCUAGGGAAGCCGAGGUGGCUGCCAAGAAUGCUCAUGAUGAGAAAGACCAUGUCGUCAAGCUAUUGUUUCGUCAGGCCUCGCACCUCUUUGCGUGUAAGCAGUGGCUGAAAAUGCUGCAACUGGAGAACAUAUGCCUCCAGCUCACGCUGAAAGAGCAUCAGAUAGCAGCCAUGUUCCCGGAGCUUCCCUGGACGGUGAUGAAGGAGGAGAAGGCGGAGCCAGAAGAGGGGCGGAAAGGCAGGGCAAAGAAGAAAGGCAGGAGGCAGAGCAAGGAAGGUGGCUUCUGCAAGGCCAUCAUGUUUGCAGUUGGCGUAGGCAUCGUCGGCGCGGGGUUGCUCCUUGGCUGGACCUUUGGGUGGCUGCUGCCCAGGUUGUAAGUUCUUCUACCUAGCGUGCAGUUCGACGAAUAGGUGGUGGUAGGUAAAGAAAGCUCCCGAUAUCUGCUUUGUGGAGUAGGAGGAUGAAAUGAUGGAAUUCUUAGAACCACUCGUAUUUGGAAGCCUUGCUGGUGAUAUCUUUCUCUCCGCGGUCCACGCCACGCCUUCGUGUAUAUAUAGGAAGGGUUUUAGUGUACAUAUUUGCCAGAAAUGGGUAUUUCUGGCACACCUGUUGGUUCCAUGGGUGAUGGGUUGAAGGUGUAAAUAGUGUGCCUGAGUGGUGGUGGAACUCCAAAAUCAGUCGACUUCAACGGUGUGUAAGCCUGUACUGUAAGUAUGUCUGUCUUCUUGAUGUAAGAGGAGUUGUAUUAGUCGCUGGUUGGUAGCGACUACAUGUAAACCUGGGCUGUACGCCUAUAACUUGGUUCUUUGUUUAAUGUAUGUAAGCGAAGUUGUAUUACUCAGCUUGGUGUUGACUAACUGAGCACACAAUUUGGUGGCAAUUGC
rnacentral:rRNA from 1 species